GCAAGCCCAGCAAGUAACCCCCCUUCCAGCUCUGGAACUUUGUUGAUACAGCUUUUCCUUCUAGCGAGGCCAGCAAUCAGCAACUACGCAACAAGAAAUUUUCCCCAGCCUAAACAACCUACUCUAUGCCCUUGGUUAGAUAAAAUAAUUUUUCAAAACAUGCAAAGCUGUUCCCUGGUUAAAAUGCAGUGAAAGUCCAGGGGUGCUUCAUCACUAAGGGUGGCACAGAAUGUGUGUGUGUAGUUAGGGAGGCACAACGCAGUUUUGUGUCGUGAGGCAGGCAUGGAGUGUGUGUGUGUUUGGAGUGAGGGAUGCCCAGACUGUGUAUCUGGAGUGAGGGAGGCACUGUGUGUGUGUGUGUGUAGUGAGGGAGGCACAUAGUGUGUGUGUGGAGUGAGGGAGGCAUAGAGUGUGUGUGUGUGGGCAGUAAGGGAGGCACAGCAUGUGUAUGUGUGUAUUGAGGGAGGCACAGUGUAUGUGUGUGUAUGUGUGGAGUGAGGGAGGCACAGAGUGUGUGUGGAUGAAGGGAGGCACAGAGUGUGUGUGUGUGUGUGUGUGUGUAUGUAGAGUGAAGGAGGCACAGGGUGUGUGUGUGGAGUGAGGGAGGUACAGACUGUGUGUGUGGAGUGAGGGAGGCACAGUGUGUGUGUGUGUACUGAGGGAGGCACAGAGUAUAUUUGUGUGUAGUGAGGGUGGCACUGUGUGUGUGUGUGUGUGUGUGUGUGUGUGUGUGUGUGUGUGUGUGUGUGUGUGUGUGGAGUAAGGGGAGCAGUCCGAGGCCUUUUUCGCACGGCGGGCUGUGGCCAGCAGCCCGGACAUGCCGGGUCGGGGAAGACAGGCGGCACGCUAGAAUUAGGCACGGACGCUUAGUGGUUGAUUUAAGAUUAUUUUACUUACACCGAAGAUGGUCGUGGUGCAGGCAGGAAAACUUGCUUGAGUUGCAGUUACAAAACAAAACAAAAAACUCGAACCUGCAGAACAUAAGGGCACAUCGCAAUGGGGUUUCGGCGACGGGAGAUGAACAAAAACCUUAGGAGUACGUUGCAAUGGGGUUUCGGCGACGGGAAGAAAAAAACUGCAGGACUUGAACCUGGGUAGAGCUCUGGAUUCACUCACACGAAGUUUGCUAGGCUCCGUGGAACUUUGCGCACAGGGAAGGGUACGUCGAGGGAUCAGGCGGCGACGGGGAGAGGCGAGAGGUUGAUCAGACCCCUAUAGCCUUCUUGAAAUACACGCUGGGUCCGAUAGGCUCCGCAGUGCUUAGAGAUCUUCACGAGACGUGAAGUUCUCCUCCUCCUGAUAGUCAUGGAGUCCUCCAACUUGGGCGGAAACCGCUCAAGCCUCUUAUAUGGCUAGCAAGCCAAUUGCUAGCCGCCACGUAGGAAUAAUUUAGACCUGGCCAAUAGUGGGGCACGAAUCUGAAUACAAAUGGCGGGAACUCCUUGCAACGUGCAUUUCUCUUUUUGCAACUAAGAAAUGCACCCUGCAAAGAAAGCUACGAGUGGCGGGAAAUGAUUCAGCAGUGCCAAAGCGCACACAAACAAAAAUCACACCCUUGGCUUGUGACAUAAGGGAGGCUCAGAGUGUUGUGUGUGUGGAGUGAGGGAGCCACAGAGUUUGUUUGUGUGCAUGGAGUGAGGGAGGCACAGUGUGUGUGUGUAUGUGUGUGUGUUUGCAGUGAGGGAGGCACAAAUUGUGUGUGUAUGUAUUUAGGGAGGCUUUAUGUGUGUGUAUACUAAGAGUGGCAGAGGAGGUGUGUAUGUGUGCGUAGUGAGGGAGGCACAGUUUGUGUGUGUGUGGCAUGAUGGAGGCACAGAGUGAGUCGCUCUGUGUGUGUGUGUGAAGUGAAUGAGGCGCAGAGUGUGUGUGGAGAGAGGGAGGCACAGACAGUGUUUGUGUGUCUGUGUGGAGUGAGGGAUGUAUAGACUGUGUGUGUGGAGUGAAGGCAGGUUUGGUGUGUGUGUGGGUAGUGAGGGAGGCACUGUGUGUGUGUGUGGAGUGAGGGAGGCAUAGAGUGAGUAUGUGUGUGUGUGUGUGUGCACGGAGUGAGGGAGGCAGAGAGUGUGUGUGUUUUUGCAGUGAGGAAGGUACAGAGUGUGUGUCUGUAGUGAGGAAGGCACAGAGUUUGUGUGUGUCUAGUGGGGGAGGCACAGUGUGUGUGUAAUGAGGGAGGAAGAGAGUGUGUAUGUGUGUGUUGAGAGAAGCACAGUGUGUGUGUUAUGUGUGUUUUGGCAUUGAGGGAGGCAUAGAGUGUGUGUCUGGAGUGCAGGAAGCACAGAGUUUGUGUCUGGAGUGAAGAAGGCACAGAGUGUGUGCGUGCAUGUGUGCGUGCACAUGCGUGCUUGUGUGUGUAGUUUGGUGCAUGCAGUGUGUGUGUGUGUGUAGUGAGGGAGGCACAGAGUGUGCAUGUGGAGUGAGGCAGGUGCAGAGUGUAUUUGGAGUGAGGGAGGCUCAGAGCGUGGGGCAUACAGAUGGAUGCACAGUGUGUGUGUGUUUACUGAGUGUGUCACAAAGUGUGUUUGUGGAUUGAGGGAGGCACAGAGAUGUGUUGUAUGUGUGUGUGUGUGUGUGGAGUGAGGGAGGCACAGUGUGUGUCCGUGUGUGGAGUGAGGGAGGCACAGUGUGUGUCGGGGGGAGGGUGUGGAGUGAGGGAGGCACAGUGUGUCGGGGUGUGUGUUUGUGUAGAGUGAGGGUGGCACAGAGUGUGUGUGUGUGUAAGCAUGUGUGUUCACAGGGAGAGUCCCACAAGCACAACCCACUAUACACAUGCACCCACACCCCUUUCACACUGCCUUACCUGCAGACCCCCACACCCUCACCUCCUCACACACCCCAGCCAUACCCCCACAAACCCCAUACCCACCCGCACCCCACAUAUCCUCACAUAGCUACAUGGUCCCUCACCCUACACCCACCCCUCCACCUAUCCAUCCCCCCGCCGAGACAUAACCACACACCCACAGCUCCCCACAAAUCCAUACCCACCACCUAUGCCCCCUACCCGCUACGGUAUAUAAGGGUAAGGCUUAAUUUUAAGCUAUUGUGCAAUCACCUUUAUAUACACUCAAAAAUACAUGUACAUUGUGACAAAAAUAUUUUUUUGAAAACAAAUUAAUGAGCGUUGUAGUUGUUCACUUUUUAGAAUAUAAUUAGGUGUUUUUCUGGUUCUGAGAUGGCAAAGCCCCUUGCUGAAAGGAGUGUUCAUGUGGUUUGGGGGUGUGGGAGGGAUUGUGGUGAUGACAUAGGGCACGGCAGGUUGCUGAUCAUGGCUGUGCCCCACUGGCAGAUCACACUAUCACUGCCACAAGAUACCAGGAAGCCUGUGGUACAACUCCAUGCUAUGCCAAGUGCCCACUGCACACCCUGACAACAGGACUAGUGCUAGCUAAGGUAAGAAGCUUUAGCCAUCCCAAAAUUGCAUGUGUCCUUAUGCACAGCCCCACACAUCUAGACUGCUAUCCAUAGAAACCCCUGGUCAGUGCUAUCACAGAAUAGCUGCUGCAGGGGUCUCCAUGGAAACUGUCCCAAGACACAAUGGCAGGGACUUCUGGGAAAUGUAGUUCAUUACUGAUAGAAAAAAACAUGGUGGGACAGAGCAGUAAAUCCCCCCAGCCCUUGUGUCAGUAAUGAGGUACCUGGUGAUGGUCAUGGUGGUCCACCACCCGCUGUUUACAUGGCACCCUCAGCCACCACACCCAUCACCCAAGAAAAGCAGCUGCCACAGAAUAAAGCAAGGUGCUAGAGCAGCCAACGGUAAGUCUGCAAUUGAGGGGGUGUGCCUUGGCACAUGGUCACACUUACAUAUUUCAGGGUAACUUUCCUAUUUAUUAUCAUUGCAUUCUGGGAACCCAGUGCAUGGUGGAUGCAGAGUGCAUCGCUUAGGACAGGGGUGGGCAAUUAUUUCCGGUGAAGUGCUGUUUAGCAAGCAGCAAGCAUGCACCUGUCAAGGGCUGCAUGGGUAGCCCCACCCCUUGAGAGGUGCCCCACCCCCUGGUCACCACCUUGGGACCAGAAGUCCCACCACCUAACCCCCAAACUUUGCCAUCAGAAGUCCCACCUCUUCACCACCAGCUCCUUCCCCGCCAGUGAGCAGGGGGUCGGGGCUGCACGUUGCCCCCUGCCAGUACCAUGGGGCUAGGGACACUGGGAGUGAGUGGGCGGGGAGCCAGCGGGAGCAUGGCACCUACACCAGUGUGUCCUGGGGCCAGUGCCAGCAGGGCCCAGAGCCGGGCAGCAGGGGUACAGGGUCCUGGCUGGCAGGGGCAAUAUCGAGCUGGGCCAGCUCUCCCCUCUUCCUGCUGGUGCAUCCCAGCCUGACUCCAAAGACCCCUGCCAGCCUGCUCCCCACUUUGGACCCCACUGGUGCUGGCCCUGGGACAUUGGUCCCAAGACAUUGGGACAUUGGUCCUAAGAUGGUAACCAGGGGGCAGGGCUACCCAUGUGGCCCUCCACAGCUUGCCAAAACUGGGUAAGCGGCCCUCCACCCAAAAUAAUUGCCCACUCCUGGUACAGAGCAAAAUCAAUCGCUGUUACAAAAAUAAGUACCUUUAAGAAAAGAAAUACCUGUUUAAAAAUAAGAAAUAAAAAUAAGAAAGCCUUCCUCUGCCUGGGCAGCUGCUCCCUCUUCUUCCCCAAUGCCCUGCUGCAGUUCCCAUUGGCAGGGACCUACUCAUAGUUCAGGUAACUGCAGGAAGCCCUUCCACCCAUUCCACCCCCCACUGUCACUGGUUAUGAAAAAAACACACCAUAUCCAGAAGAAACUAUAAGGUACAAGCUUUUAUUUACAAAUUAAAAAUAAAUAAAUAAAAACCUUUUAUUUGUCAAGAAAACCAAAUAAAUAAAAACUACCUUUUAUUUACAAAUGCAAAAAAAUGCUUUUUUCAAGACAAUUUAUAUUUGUUUUUUUUUUAUUUAACAUAACUAAAAAACAAUUUCCAGUGCACAAUGCCAGCAUCACAUCAUCUUCUAUGUCUUAUUGUUCUGCAGGGGAAGAAAGCAAAUGUGUUUUGCCCCAUGUUCUCAAAACCACCUUCUUAGCCUCCCCCCUACAGGCUACAAAAUCAACUGUGGGAGAUUUCAAUAACUAUUUAUCAGUCUGGUAGCAGCAUAUCCUGGCUGAGGGGUCUGGGAUCAUGUGUGCCUGGGUUUUCUGGAAGGUAAUUAUAGAAGCAACACAAGUUACCACUAACAUGGUAACAUGUGCCAAGCCACACCCCCUCAAUGGCAAUUUACCACCUCUGGCACCUCCUGCUGCAUGGGUGGGUUCUAGGGUGGGUGCUUUUAAGAUGUGCGGGGGUGGUGGGGAAAGCUGAGCAAACACCACCACUGGUACUAGCCUCAUAGCUGGGGGUCAAGUCAGGGGUUUGUCCCUCCAUCUGCCCUGCUGCAAUCUUUUCCUACAUGAAAGGAACGUUUAGCACCAAUUAACUAGUCUUGCCAUGGCAUGUAAUUAUUGUGUACUACCUCUUAGUACAGUCAUAGCCAUGGGUAAGUGCUCCUGGAGUUUUAGCAAGCAGUCCCCCACCAAGCUGCAGGCAGGUUCAUACCAAUUCCCCUCCACCAAGAAGCCACAAACUCCUGCAGGCUCAUACCAACUCUCCCCCAGGUUUUAUUAACCCUUCACAGGACAUGAUCCAUCCCAUGGGAGCUAGGCUGCAGGGGGGCAGAGGGGCCCCUUCUCCUCCUACUGCUGGCAGGGGAGGCUGGGUGGACCCUGCUGGGCUGGGGGGGCACAUGCCCACCUUUUCUCGCUGCUCCCUGCCCCCACUAUGACCCAAUGUGCAUGUACACAGGUGGGCACAGACACAGGCACAUACACUCCACUGUCUCUGCACAUGGACACAGAACAACACAUACACCCAGACCCACACACAGGCCUGGGUUUAGCACACAUAUACACAGACCCACAUACACAGAGACCCCCCCCACACACAGACCCACACACACACAUGCAGACCCACAUACAGAGACACCCUCCCACAGACCCAGACACACACACAUACACACACAGGCUGACACACAGGCACACACACAGACCCACACACACAGACCCACACAAACACACAGAAACACACUUUCCCCUCAGAAUACCUCCCCCUCCUCCACUCUUGAUCAUGGAGGCAGCCCUCCAUCCCCCUCCCCCCAUGCCUCCCUCCCCUGCCACGAGCUUCCUGCAGCUCAGUCUCGCUCCCCCCUCUGGCCACUGCUAUAGUUACAUGCAGGGAACUGCUGUCCGCUGUCCCGUGCAGCCAGGCAGAUGCAGCGGGCCUGCUGGACUGGGCCGAGCCAGUGGUGCCAUGCCAUGUCUCUGCGAGUGAGCAUGGGCACUGGGAGGGGUGGCUGCAGGGGGCUAAGAUGAAUUUGGAGGGGUGGGGCUACAGCCCCCAAAGUUCUCCCAGUACUGCUGCCUGCAAAGGCACAGGGCAGCACAGGGCUCCUGGCCCAGCCCGGCCUCAACCUCCCCCCAGGUGGGGAACAGCUCUCCCAGCCCAGGUCAGCCCCCUCCCCCCAGACACAGUGCCGCUCAGCCCACCCCCUCCCCCAGGUGCAGCAUGGCUCUCCUGCCCAACCCUAGCCCUGUGGGCCCCUUCCCACACCCCAUUGGUGAAGGGGCCCCGCUUUCAGAUCUCAGGGAAACAAAUGUGAAAGCCGCAGUUUUAAACUUGGCGCCAAAGGUGGGCACUGAGUUUAAAACCGCAGCUUUCAUUUCCCUGCUGAUGAGGAUCCUGGGGCUGGGGCCCCAGAUUGGUAGGGGCCCCUGGGCUCAUGCACAACUGGUCUAUGCAUUAAUCUGCCUAUGCUUGCAAGUUGCCAUCCCGGCCAUGCAGAGAGCCAUGCCAAACUGGUUUGCAAUGUAGCAUAGGCUGGUGGGGGUGGCUGGUUUCAUGAUGGCCAUGGACACCCUCUUGCCCAGCCUGAUGGAGUGACUCAUGGCCAGCCUCACUAUUUUAAACCCCAGCAUUGAGACAAUGUGAUUAAAUGUCAUCCUAGUCAUUCAGAACAUCUCCAGCCACUGUUGAUUGUUCCAAGUCAUCAGAAUGAUUCGUUCCCACCAGUCAGAGCUGCUUUCAUGGACCCAGACACUGCAGUCACUGCUCCUCAUGUUGAUCCACAAAUCCCUGUCAGCUGCCAGUUCUGUGCCUGCCUCUCAGUUCUCCCAAUCCACCACACAUUUAACUGCCCUUUUUUGCAAGGUAUGUUUACAUGCUGGUAUAUCAUUGCAAAUGUGUACAAGGAUCAUCAUCACAUAUGUUGCAAUAUGUAGCUGUGCUUCUAUGCUAUCCAGUAAAUCCAAGACUAUCAGCAGGAGACUCAAUUCCAUUUUGUCCUCCUCAUUCAUUUCGUCCAGAUUCUCCAUUUCAGCAUCCUCAUUCAGUUCACCAGGAUUCUCCAUGUCAUCCUCCUCACACAUUUCAUCUGGAAUCUCCAUUUGGUUCUCCUCGCUCAUUACAUCUGGAUUCCAUGAAGCCAUGUUGUUUUCCAAUAUGCAGCAUGGUCACUGUUUAGCACACAGCACAACCAAGGUUCACUGGGGGGGGUCGUCUAAAUAGAUAUGGUAGCUGAAUACAGCUGAACAGCAUUGAAAGUGACCUGCUAUUUGCAUUUCAAUGAUUACCCUGCUCAGUAGGCCAUUCACUGGGCACUGGCACAGCAGAGACUUUACUUUGUACCAUGGUGGGUAGGUAUGAGGCAGAUGAUGUACCACCCAUCCACUGAGAAGUUAUGGGAUUUAGGAUGACCCCAGGAACCCGUUCAUGGACCUUAGGGGUAAGAUGCUGGACACUGAGUUUAUCUGGGCCUAUGUGCAGUAUUCAAAUGACUAAAUUAUAAUAUCAGUUCCCUUUUGCACAAGAAUGUAAACUCAUGGCUGGGACCACCUGAAACAUAACAGUUUCAGUUGAUACAGUUAAUCUCAUCUCUGACUUUGGUAUCAAGUAUAUCCCAUGCCCAACUGCUCUAAAUUGAUUAUGAAUAAGUUCCCCUUUCAAUGUGAUUGCCUCUUCCUUGUUAUCAGAUCCCUCACCAAUCUAGGUGUCUGUACCAGAGGUACCAGUUGGUACAGUGAGGGGUAGAAGAAGUUUUGCCUGAAGGAAGAGCUGCCAGCCACAGACUCUUGGGUGUGAUCAGCAGUGGGACAUUAUCAAUCUGUAUGGAUGAUGUGGGUUGAUUUGGGCCAGACUAUUCCUAUCACCGUUGCUUUGUUUGGAAUAGUUACUUGAUCAAAUUGCCCUGACUGCUAGUUCUGAGACACAUUUCACACCUUCAUAGGUAUGGGUACAUGAAACUUUCAAAAAGGUUUGUUCAACAUGUCUAUAUAACAGCUCCCAAAAUUUGCCAAAACCAUUCCGUGACACUGUUGUCAGGCUACCUCAGUCUUGACAACUUUUUGGGAUAAAAAGCUUCUCAAUGUCUCAGAAGAACAAGUCCAAUAUGCAGGCAGUGGACCAGGAGGCUGAUAUAUUUGUCAACCAUGGCCCCAACUGAACCUGAGAAGAAAUUAAGGAUUUGACUGACUUGUUGGAGGAAAAGAUCAUUGAGCAGCUGAAAAGUAGGAAGCAAGUGUAUACCACAAUAACAAAGCAAAUGAAGUCAUGCAGGCACAACCAGAACUGGACACUGUGCCAGAGCAAGAUCAAGGCCCUGAAAUGUGUAUUUCAUCAGGCCAAGGAUGAGAACUCUUGUUCUGGGGCAGCAUGCACAAUUGUUCCAUUCUAUGACUAGCUUUCCAUCAUUCUCUCCAAGGAUGGUCUUCUCAUCUAUCCUCCUGGUCAGCGGUUGUGGCCAGCAUCAGAGCAGCUGCAUUGGAUAGGUCAGCCUGCAGUUUCAGAGUUGGUGCCAUCAUGUGGGUUUUGGCUUAUUCAACCACAAUUCCACACUACCAUGAAAGGGGCAUGCUGGGACAUGAUGAGCUACAACUCUCUUCAAAAGUUAAGCAUCUGUUCUCUUGCAGGUUGGCUGAUCUACACAGGGCUUUAAAAUAAGUUCAUCAGGGGAUGGGGAUGCUGAAGACAGGAUGAACCUAGGAUCAACAAACCAUGAGCCACACACUGGAACAGUCCACAUGCCAGAGACACUCAUCUGCUCGCAGUGAUUCUGUACUCAUCAGACCCUAAAGGUAAGUAAAUAUUUCCUCCUCCCCUCUCCGUAAUCCAAUCCCUUGCCAUGGGUUUCCACACGGGUGCAAUCAGUUGCCGAAGUGAGGCUUUUAGUCUUCACGUGCCGUCAAUCUCGUACUGCCCUGAGGGCAGCGUUCCCUUCAGACACCUCCACUUUUAACCCUCCAGCUUGCCGCCUUCCAUUUAACUCUCCCCCAGUGUGAAACUCCCCUCAGCAGUGAACAAUGUCUAAUUAUCCUUGCCCUCAUCCUGGCCUCAUUCUCUGCCCCCUCCCUGGGGCUACCCCCUCAAGUACAGGGUUGUCUUUCACCCUGUUACAAUGUCCCUUGAGAAAACCAGAAUGUCUCUUCCCAGUGCUACAGUAGGUAGGUUGGCAGUAGUAGGGCAGUGUGAUAUUAUGCAUUCUAUGGAUAUAUAGAGCAUUGUUCAAUGAGGACAGAGUUAGCAUUGUAUAAGCAUGUAUUUUAACUCAGAAUCUACUAAUUUUAUGAACUGAUGUGUUUUGCUGAGAGACAUUUUGUAAGGACACAAAACAACAAAUAACACCAUCUUGGCAUUUACAUAGGUUUUAGGCAUUGUCACAAAUUAACGGAUGUACUCAAACUUCAAGCAUAUAGAUGACUAGAGGUAGCCAGACCAUCCUCCACUCCUGAGUGGUUGCCGACCAGGGUUCCGACUGCAUGUCCUGCUGCCUCAAGCAAGGAAGAAGGUGGCAGUUCACUAGUACUGGCCUUUGAGUCCAAGCUGGACUGCCCUUCUCUCUUUGGCCAAAUCAAAGCGAAAAACCAAUUCGGAGCUCCGAAUUGAAUAGCUGGCAUCCGAAUCGGCCAAAUCCGAACCCAAAUCAAAUUUGGAUCUGUGAAAAUUAGUAGAUCUGUGAAAUCUAUUUGCACAGGUCUACUAAUGGUUACCUUGAAAAUUCUGUAUCAGUUGGUUAUGCAAGUUAUGCGUAAUAAAUCAGUAACAGUUAAUUAUGUAAAAAACCUUUUCUGUCUUCUUUUCUUUCAGUGUACGUGCCCAUCAGAUCAGGCCAGGCUGCCAGGCUUUGUUCCUGGCUCUGUUGUCAUCAAUGCCAAAUGAACAGUUGUUUGCAACAUUAUGGAGGGUUGCUUAACUUGUAAAACUGGAAAAAAAUCAGUAAAUCCACAAGCUGCAACAGCACAGCACAUGGCGGGGGGAGGGGGGGAGCAGGGCAGGGUACUGUACUGAGGGUUAGGAGCGAGGGGCAGAGUCAGGGCCAGUGGUGCCCACGUCACAAGUUGGGGGCAGUAGGAUGGCUCAGGGGCCUCAGUCCUAGAAUGAGGGACAACAGAUGGGGCUCAACCAGGACACCUCAUUUUUUAACUUGGAAAUAUAGCAACCCUAAUGACGGCAAUGUAAGUGCUGGCUGCCUGCUGCCAUUGUGUGGGUCUGAAUGUGGGGUGAGACUGCAAUCAUGACUAGCACAGCAGCACAAAGGAGUGUGGAGGUAAUGGGCUGGCUGCACACAGUACUAUGGGCAUGCAGGCACCAGUUGCUCUAAGGGCAUCUGAAAAUAGCCCAGGAUGUGGCAGAUUAGGUGCCAUUCUUGCCUGCUGCUAUGAGUCUGACUGCGGGGUGACCUUGUGCAAUCACAGAUGCAGCAGCCAGCACAAGAAAAAAAAAGCGGUGCUAUGAGAAGGCAACACCAUUUGCUCUGUCUGACUGAAAGGUAAAUGAAAGCAGUCCCUUUAGGCACCCAAGCAGUUUGAAACCAUGGAUAAUGGGGUGAUGGUGCCGUUGUCACCCUGGCAAAGGCAUGGGGUGACGGGGCGGCAAGUAUCCACCCAGGAGAACAAACAUUGAUUCAGUGUUGGGCUGACUGGACCGCAACAUCUGGUGUGGAAUACCUGGUGUCUAAAGAAACACAUUACACCCAGUUACCAAAACAGGGCAGGUAACCUCUUCCCCUCCUAUCUGCAAUUCAAAGCACCCCUUUGUCCACCAGCUGUUGAACUACACGAAAGUUGCAGUGUUAUCUGGUGGACAAAGGGGCUCAUUACACAUCUUUGAAUACAUUUCUAUCUGCACAUGAUGAAUCCAUAGAUGCGUUUUAAUUCCUUGCGACCCAAACUAAAAUAUGUCGGGAUGCGUUUUACUUUAAAACACCAGAAGACUUUUAAAAUGCCAGAAAAACAUGCACGUGAAAACUGUAACACCAUUGAACCACAAGAAAGGGCAAAUUUUGUCAAGUGUACAAGCACCCUUUAAGGCCUAAAAGUGCCUAUUUAAAACACCCAACCCAUCUUAACUAUGGCUAGCAUGCCACGCAAUGACUGUACAAUUAAUGCAUCUUGGGAGUUGAGGGCAUAGAUCAGAUAGAUGGAAACUUAUUUUAAAGAAAUAUUUGCUUUAUUUAAAUCUUUUCUCCUCCUGCUACUAUUCCAGGGAAGUGUGCAGGGCACGUGCCAGUCUUUCCAGGGCAUCUCAGCAUCUUACUGUGAGUACGUUUCUUGCUUCUCUUUGAACUCAUAUGGCUUCUGUAGUAGCUUGGGAAUAAA